rnacentral:rRNA from 1 species
UACGAAGGGUGCAAGCGUUAAUCGGAAUUACUGGGCGUAAAGCGUGCGUAGACGGUUAUUUAAGUCGGAUGUGAAAGCCCCGGGCUCAACCUGGGAAUUGCAUUCGAGACUGAAUAGCUAGGGUACGGUAGAGGGAAGUGGAAUUUCCGGUGUAGCGGUGAAAUGCGUAGAUAUCGGAAGGAACAUCAGUGGCGAAAGCGACUUCCUGGACCAGUACCGACGUUCAGGCACGAAAGCGUGGGGAGCAAACAGG